rnacentral:rRNA from 1 species
GACGAACGCUGGCGGCAUGCUUAACACAUGCAAGUCGAACGGAAAGGCCUGCUUUCCCUUGUGGAUUGCGGGUACUCGAGUGGCGAACGGGUGAGUAACACGUGAGUGAUCUGCCCCCAACUUGGGUAUAAGCCUGGGAAACUGGGUCUAAUUCCCGAUAGGACUGCAGGGUGGUGCCUGUGGUGGAAAACGAUUUUCUAGUGGUUGGGGAUGAGCUCGCGGCCUAUCAGCUUGUUGGUGGGGUAAUGGCCUACCAAGGCGGCGACGGGUAGCCGGCCUGAGAGGGUGGACGGCCACAUUGGGACUGAGAUACGGCCCAGACGCCUACGGGAGGCAGCAGUGGGGAAUAUUGCACAAUGGGCGGAAGCCUGAUGCAGCGACGCCGCGUGGGGGAUGACGGCCUUCGGGUUGUAAACUCCUUUCGACCGCGAGGAAGCCACCUGGUUGGAAGGGUGGUGACGGUAGUGGUAGAAGAAGCACCGGCUAACUACGUG